UGGACGAAAGUCUGAUGGAGCAACGCCGCGUGAGUGAAGAAGGGUUUCGGCUCGUAAAGCUCUGUUGGUAGUGAAGAAAGAUAGAGGUAGUAACUGGCCUUUAUUUGACGGUAAUUACUUAGAAAGUCACGGCUAACUACGUGCC
rnacentral:rRNA from 1 species